rnacentral:tRNA from 1 species
GUGUAGCUUAGUUGGUAGAGCGAUUGACUGUAGUGUUCUAUACUGUGUUUCAGUAUUCUCGGAAACCAAUUGGUCGCUGGUUCGAUUCCGCAUUAAAUCA